UAAGCGACUAAGCGUACACGGUGGAUGCCCUGGCAGUCAGAGGCGAUGAAGGACGUGCUAAUCUGCGAUAAGCGUCGGUAAGGUGAUAUGAACCGUUAUAACCGGCGAUUUCCGAAUGGGGAAACCCAGUGUGUUUCGACACACUAUCAUUAACUGAAUCCAUAGGUUAAUGAGGCGAACCGGGGGAACUGAAACAUCUAAGUACCCCGAGGAAAAGAAAUCAACCGAGAUUCCCCCAGUAGCGGCGAGCGAACGGGGAGCAGCCCAGAGCCUGAAUCAGUGUGUGUGUUAGUGGAAGCGUCUGGAAAGGCGCGCGAUACAGGGUGACAGCCCCGUACACAAAAAUGCACAUGCUGUGAGCUCGAUGAGUAGGGCGGGACACGUGGUAUCCUGUCUGAAUAUGGGGGGACCAUCCUCCAAGGCUAAAUACUCCUGACUGACCGAUAGUGAACCAGUACCGUGAGGGAAAGGCGAAAAGAACCCCGGCGAGGGGAGUGAAAAAGAACCUGAAACCGUGUACGUACAAGCAGUGGGAGCACGCUUAGGCGUGUGACUGCGUACCUUUUGUAUAAUGGGUCAGCGACUUAUAUUCUGUAGCAAGGUUAACCGAAUAGGGGAGCCGAAGGGAAACCGAGUCUUAACUGGGCGUUAAGUUGCAGGGUAUAGACCCGAAACCCGGUGAUCUAGCCAUGGGCAGGUUGAAGGUUGGGUAACACUAACUGGAGGACCGAACCGACUAAUGUUGAAAAAUUAGCGGAUGACUUGUGGCUGGGGGUGAAAGGCCAAUCAAACCGGGAGAUAGCUGGUUCUCCCCGAAAGCUAUUUAGGUAGCGCCUCGUGAAUUCAUCUCCGGGGGUAGAGCACUGUUUCGGCAAGGGGGUCAUCCCGACUUACCAACCCGAUGCAAACUGCGAAUACCGGAGAAUGUUAUCACGGGAGACACACGGCGGGUGCUAACGUCCGUCGUGAAGAGGGAAACAACCCAGACCGCCAGCUAAGGUCCCAAAGUCAUGGUUAAGUGGGAAACGAUGUGGGAAGGCCCAGACAGCCAGGAUGUUGGCUUAGAAGCAGCCAUCAUUUAAAGAAAGCGUAAUAGCUCACUGGUCGAGUCGGCCUGCGCGGAAGAUGUAACGGGGCUAAACCAUGCACCGAAGCUGCGGCAGCGACGCUUAUGCGUUGUUGGGUAGGGGAGCGUUCUGUAAGCCUGCGAAGGUGUGCUGUGAGGCAUGCUGGAGGUAUCAGAAGUGCGAAUGCUGACAUAAGUAACGAUAAAGCGGGUGAAAAGCCCGCUCGCCGGAAGACCAAGGGUUCCUGUCCAACGUUAAUCGGGGCAGGGUGAGUCGACCCCUAAGGCGAGGCCGAAAGGCGUAGUCGAUGGGAAACAGGUUAAUAUUCCUGUACUUGGUGUUACUGCGAAGGGGGGACGGAGAAGGCUAUGUUGGCCGGGCGACGGUUGUCCCGGUUUAAGCGUGUAGGCUGGUUUUCCAGGCAAAUCCGGAAAAUCAAGGCUGAGGCGUGAUGACGAGGCACUACGGUGCUGAAGCAACAAAUGCCCUGCUUCCAGGAAAAGCCUCUAAGCAUCAGGUAACAUCAAAUCGUACCCCAAACCGACACAGGUGGUCAGGUAGAGAAUACCAAGGCGCUUGAGAGAACUCGGGUGAAGGAACUAGGCAAAAUGGUGCCGUAACUUCGGGAGAAGGCACGCUGAUAUGUAGGUGAAGUCCCUCGCGGAUGGAGCUGAAAUCAGUCGAAGAUACCAGCUGGCUGCAACUGUUUAUUAAAAACACAGCACUGUGCAAACACGAAAGUGGACGUAUACGGUGUGACGCCUGCCCGGUGCCGGAAGGUUAAUUGAUGGGGUAGCGCAAGCGAAGCUCUUGAUCGAAGCCCCGGUAAACGGCGGCCGUAACUAUAACGGUCCUAAGGUAGCGAAAUUCCUUGUCGGGUAAGUUCCGACCUGCACGAAUGGCGUAAUGAUGGCCAGGCUGUCUCCACCCGAGACUCAGUGAAAUUGAACUCGCUGUGAAGAUGCAGUGUACCCGCGGCAAGACGGAAAGACCCCGUGAACCUUUACUAUAGCUUGACACUGAACAUUGAGCCUUGAUGUGUAGGAUAGGUGGGAGGCUUUGAAGUGUGGACGCCAGUCUGCAUGGAGCCGACCUUGAAAUACCACCCUUUAAUGUUUGAUGUUCUAACGUGGACCCGUAAUCCGGGUUGCGGACAGUGUCUGGUGGGUAGUUUGACUGGGGCGGUCUCCUCCUAAAGAGUAACGGAGGAGCACGAAGGUUGGCUAAUCCUGGUCGGACAUCAGGAGGUUAGUGCAAUGGCAUAAGCCAGCUUGACUGCGAGCGUGACGGCGCGAGCAGGUGCGAAAGCAGGUCAUAGUGAUCCGGUGGUUCUGAAUGGAAGGGCCAUCGCUCAACGGAUAAAAGGUACUCCGGGGAUAACAGGCUGAUACCGCCCAAGAGUUCAUAUCGACGGCGGUGUUUGGCACCUCGAUGUCGGCUCAUCACAUCCUGGGGCUGAAGUAGGUCCCAAGGGUAUGGCUGUUCGCCAUUUAAAGUGGUACGCGAGCUGGGUUUAGAACGUCGUGAGACAGUUCGGUCCCUAUCUGCCGUGGGCGCUGGAGAAUUGAGGGGGGCUGCUCCUAGUACGAGAGGACCGGAGUGGACGCAUCACUGGUGUUCGGGUUGUCAUGCCAAUGGCACUGCCCGGUAGCUAAAUGCGGAAGAGAUAAGUGCUGAAAGCAUCUAAGCACGAAACUUGCCCCGAGAUGAGUUCUCCCUGACUCCUUGAGAGUCCUGAAGGAACGUUGAAGACGACGACGUUGAUAGGCCGGGUGUGUAAGCGCAGCGAUGCGUUGAGCUAACCGGUACUAAUGAACCGUGAGGCUUAACCU
rnacentral:rRNA from 1 species